rnacentral:tRNA from 2 species
GCAGUCGUGGCCGAGUGGUUAAGGUGAUGGACUAGAAAUCCAUUGGGGUCUCUCCGUACAGGUUCGAAUCCUGUUGGCCGCA